rnacentral:rRNA from 1 species
UACGAAGGGGGCUAGCGUUGUUCGGAUUUACUGGGCGUAAAGCGCACGUAGGCGGAUCGUUAAGUCGGGGGUGAAAUCCUGGAGCUCAACUCCAGAACUGCCUUCGAUACUGGCGAUCUAGAGUCCGGAAGAGGUUAGUGGAAUUCCCAGUGUAGAGGUGAAAUUCGUAGAUAUUGGGAAGAACACCAGUGGCGAAGGCGGCUAACUGGUCCAGCACUGACGCUGAGGUGCGAAAGCGUGGGGAGCAAACAGG